rnacentral:rRNA from 1 species
AUUGAACGCUGGCGGCAGGCCUAACACAUGCAAGUCGAACGGUAACAGGAAGAAGCUUGCUUCUUUGCUGACGAGUGGCGGACGGGUGAGUAAUGUCUGGGAAACUGCCUGAUGGAGGGGGAUAACUACUGGAAACGGUAGCUAAUACCGCAUAACGUCGCAAGACCAAAGAGGGGGACCUUCGGGCCUCUUGCCAUCGGAUGUGCCCAGAUGGGAUUAGCUAGUAGGUGGGGUAACGGCUCACCUAGGCGACGAUCCCUAGCUGGUCUGAGAGGAAGACCAGCCACACUGGAACUGAGACACGGUCCAGACUCCUACGGGAGGCAGCAGUGGGGAAUAUUGCACAAUGGGCGCAAGCCUGAUGCAGCCAUGCCGCGUGUAUGAAGAAGGCCUUCGGGUUGUAAAGUACUUUCAGCGGGGAGGAAGGGAGUAAAGUUAAUACCUUUACUCAUUGACGUUACCCGCAGAAGAAGCACCGGCUAACUCCGUG